rnacentral:rRNA from 1 species
UGGGGAAUAUUGCACAAUAGGGGAAACCCUGAUGCAGCGACGCCGCGUGAACGAAGAAGGUAUUCGUAUCGUAAAGUUCUGUCCUAUGGGAAGAUAAUGACAGUACCAUAGAAGAAAGCUCCGGCUAAAUACGUGCCAGCAGCCGCGGUAAUACGUAUGGAGCGAGCGUUGUCCGGAAUUAUUGGGCGUAAAGGGUACGCAGGCGGUUUAAUAAGUCGAAUGUUAAAGAUCGGGGCUCAACCCCGCAAAGCAUUGGAAACUGAUAAACUUGAGUAGUGGAGAGGAAAGUGGAAUUCCUAGUGUAGUGGUGAAAUACGUAGAUAUUAGGAGGAAUACCAGUAGCGAAGGCGACUUUCUGGACACAAACUGACGCUGAGGUACGAAAGCGUGGGGAGCAAACAGG